rnacentral:tRNA from 1 species
AGUGGUUUAAGCGCUUGGCUGCUAACCGAAAGGCCGGUGGUUCAAACCCACCAGCCACUC